CAGACAUCUCGGGCAGCAAUUAAUCCCCCACAGAAACAAAGGACUGGGCUUGCUGAAAUCUACCAUGCCAACUGGACAGAGCCCAUCAGGUUUAACCAAAUUAUAUAUAAAAGGGUAUGACCUGCUUCUGGAUCUCUUUCUCUGAAGUCUGUUAUGCUCUGAAAUAGAAGAGCACAUCUGUAUUUUCACACACGUAAGUGGAUCUACAACGUCAAUACGAGAAUGAUACUAAACGACUACUCUCCUUACAUCUACUAUUGUGCGCAACACAUUCCAAGGGUACUCCGCACUCAACCGAAGGACAAUUUGUAUGCACAAGGUUUGAACUCCUCUCCAAUAAGUGCUCAUUUGAUCUAAUUAUGCUCAAUAUUUAAUUCUUACAAAAGAUAUUUUGUCUACUAAAGCCCGUAUUUCUGCAACUGAGGAUUCCUACCCAGAAACAGACUGUCUUACUUCAAAAAUUUAGGAGUGAUCAGGAAAAUACCAAGCGCCAUAAGUGGUAUAGAGACAUGAAUGACUAUGCCCCUAUUCGUGUAUAUUCGUGGAAUACUAAUUAUGUUGGCUCUAAUAAUGCUGCUAUUGUGGACCCUGAUGUCACUAAUUACACUGUUUAUUUAGACACGGGGAUAUGUCCCCCUUCAGAUCAACCAGACGCGGGGGCCAUCGCCAUCAACGAUACUGUAAAGACAAGAGCACAGAAGGGACCAAAAGCCACCCAACAGAAGCUUUCCUUUAGGAAGAGAUAGAGAAACCUAAUAUGGGUGGCAAUAUGGCUGAUGGAAGAGAACCUCACUACAAUUUUUUUUUAUAUCAAUUUCUAUAGAAUUGUGUUUUAAUAUUGGUGUCUCCCAAUACGACAACACUGUGAAUUUGUCUUUUUACAUCGUAUAUACACCUCUACACUAUAUUACACUCUUUAUUUUUUUCUUACCAUUAUAUCUAUUUUUAUUUUUACUUUAUUAGUUGUUAUACUGUAUUUUGUUGAUACUAUGUCAUCAAAUAUUUUUUAUUCUCAUUUUUUGCUUUUAUCUUUUUACCUUUUUCUUAUUUUUAUAUUUGUAUUUUCAUAAUUUCCGUUAUAUGACAUAUUAUUGAUAUGGCACUUACAGCGUCUCUAUUUUAGGACCCCUAGCGACCCCCUUAAUAUUUAGCCUUAAGUCACCGGCGGUAUCUCUGGUCGCACCAUGUUGCACUUUGUGCCCCCAGUUAUUCGGAUUACUGUGACUCACAGUCACAUGGAUUCCGAACUGUCAGCAUGUUUCUUCUUGUUCUCUUUUUCUUUUAAUUAUUUUGUCAAUUGCUUUCUUUUAUUAUCUCCACACACACUCACUUUUUAACAUAGCUAUUUAGUUUUAUUCACACACACGAGUCUUUUCAUUUCAAUUAUUGAUCUUAUGUUUUAAAGAACAAUAAUACUUGUUCCGAGACAUAUGAGCAUGUUUCCCUUAGUUAACAUGGCCAUAUAUGCUCGGUCACCUAGUGCGCAUGCACCCAUUACUGGGAUUGCUGCAACGCACAUAAUUAUUCACAUUACACACUUUAACACGCAUGCAUCCAUAACCGGACCUGCGGCAGUCCAUGUGACCGAUACACACGGUUUUCAUUGGUUGACACCUAUGCCAGCAUUGCGCUGCGGCGCAGGCUCCGUCACUUACACACCGGUUUGGCGUGGCGGCUCCAUUUUCUCCAGUAUGCCUUGGUGAGUGUUCUUCAUUAACCUGUGCCCUUUUGAUUUUUAAUACGUUUUUAUUGGAUGUAAUCAAGCAUUUUCUUGUGAUUUUAACCCACAUCUUAUAUACACAGUUACACUGUAUACUUAAAUAUUUUGGCAAUUGAUUUUGCCUCUGAUAUUAUGCACUCCGAUUUGUUUUACACAAUUAAUAUAUGAUGUUUGCUUUAUAUUGUACAUGAAUUGUUUAUUGCACUGUAUUUUUAUUAAUCACAUGGGCUGCCUUAUAUAUACCAUUGCUGUUAGUCACUAUUCAUGCUUGAUAAAGGCUGCAUGGCAGCCGAAACAUUGCAUCUGUAUUACACUAUGG